rnacentral:rRNA from 1 species
AGUGAACGCUGGCGGUAGGCCUAACACAUGCAAGUCGAACGGCAGCACAGUAAGAGCUUGCUCUUACGGGUGGCGAGUGGCGGACGGGUGAGGAAUACAUCGGAAUCUACUUUUUCGUGGGGGAUAACGUAGGGAAACUUACGCUAAUACCGCAUACUACCUACGGGUGAAAGCAGGGGAUCUUCGGACCUUGCGCGAUUGAAUGAGCCGAUGUCGGAUUAGCUAGUUGGCGGGGUAAGGGCCCACCAAGGCGACGAUCCGUAGCUGGUCUGAGAGGAUGAUCAGCCACACUGGAACUGAGACACGGUCCAGACUCCUACGGGAGGCAGCAGUGGGGAAUAUUGGACAAUGGGCGAAAGCCUGAUCCAGCCAUACCGCGUGGGUGAAGAAGGCCUUCGGGUUGUAAAGCCCUUUUGUUGGGAAAGAAAAGCAGCAGGUUAAUACCCCGAUGUUCUGACGGUACCCAAAGAAUAAGCACCGGCUAACUUCGUG